rnacentral:lncRNA from 1 species
UGGGAGUGUGGAGAGGCGAGGAUAUCAGUGACAAGCGAAAGGCGUGUAAUAUCAUCGAUCAUCACAGCCGGCAAGCCACCACCUCAAAGCCUCUCGAGCUCUACGUGGGAAGUCACACAUGUGGGCGUCGCUAUUUCAUUUGAUACAACGGGGGAAAUAGCGGACAAACACCCCCACGUGAAUCCACUACACGUGCGACGUUACUUACGCCUCUGCAAGAGAGGUGUUUGGUUUAGGGUUUAAAUGAAACCACGUGCUCCCUCCCUGCCCCCAC